AUAGAGCGCAUAUAGUCAUUAUCGUCCAAGAGCUUUUCGGAACUCGUCGCUCCUGGAAUGAAAGUGCUCCAAACUCGCGGUGAACAGUCAGCUCACUAGACUACCUCAACAUGAGACUACUGCCGACCUGCGUCCUCCUGAUUUCCCUGGCGCUGGUUUCAGCACAAUCCCAGAUAGAAGGGGAAUCCUCUCCUGCCCGCACACUGAGCUCCAUCCACCAAUAUCUGACGAGUAUUGGACUCGGCCGCCUCGCCGUAGAAUUUGACCACCUCGUCGAAUUCCUGAGAACCCACCGCACUUUGCUGCAGAAUUCGACGGUCGAAGCCACGACGGCCCACGAAGACUUCACACCCGCAAAAAAUACGUCAGAAAGUUCGUGAGAAGACUCGGCGGUGAAGUAUCAGAUCAGAAAAUCUAUUGCAAUAAAGCGUCCUCUUCAUUCAUAAU